rnacentral:rRNA from 1 species
UACGUAGGGGGCAAGCGUUGUCCGGAAUCAUUGGGCGUAAAGAGCGUGUAGGCGGCCCGGUAAGUCCGCUGUGAAAGUCGGGGGCUCAACCCUCGAAUGCCGGUGGAUACUGUCGGGCUAGAGUGCGGAAGAAGCGAGUGGAAUUCCUGGUGUAGCGGUGAAAUGCGUAGAUAUCGGGAGGAACACCAGUGGCGAAGGCGACUUCCUGGCCUGUUCUUGACGCUGAGGCGCGAAAGCUAGGGGAGCAAACGGG